rnacentral:rRNA from 1 species
AUGCGCGCGCUUCACUGCCGAGAGGGAGACGAGGCGAACGUGUCGCCCUCGGCCUCUCCAAACCGCUCGCCGCGUUCCCAGCUCCCCGCGCCCCCGCGCCAUGAGCUUGGGCAUGGUGAACUCGUGGAUAGCACACGAGGAGGCACGCCGCUCUACUCCAUGCAGGUGCAGCCAGCGCUCAUGACCAUGACGUACAAGGAGGGUGUGCUCGCCCACCUCAUCAAGGAGCUGAAGGAGCGCGAGUCCGGCCUGGUCCGCACCCCCGACAAGCUCACAGCGUUUGAUGUGGAGCUCCAUGGAGGGAGAUAG